UCUGCAGACUCAGUGGCUCAGGAGAUAAAGCUUUGGGUUUUAAUCUGGGAGAUCCGAAUUCAAAUCCCACUACUGCUUACUUCACAUUGAUCUCAGACAGACAAAGUGACUCAAACGCCAAAACACAACGUGGAAUCCAUGAUGGGUAAGUGGAUAAGUACAUGUUCUCUGAGGAUGAGCUUGUGAUGGAGAUGUGGGUUCAAAUCCCACCUCCAAAAAAAUCACGUACUCAGCUUGCUUUUACUUCUUUAUUGGGAAAUCACAGGUAAACAGUCAAAUAUAAGUUCCUUCCUGUGUUCCAGCAAGAGAUCUGUGGCUCACAGGUAAGAGCGCUGCCUCAUGGGUGUAGAGGUUGCUGGUUCGAUCCCAGCCAGGUCUCUGCGAUAUGAGUGAAUGGAGGAGUG